AAACAACUGUGAUUCCCUUAGUAACUGCGAGUGAAGCGGGAAAAGCCCAUCGUUUAAUCUCCCUGGACUAUGGACAGGGCGACUUGUAACGGUAUGGAUAGGUUUUCUACCAGUGUUCUCUGAUCAAAGUCCUCCGGAUUGAGGUGCCAAAGAGGGUGACAGCCCCGUAUGUGAUUGGAGAAUGCUGGGUAUGUGGCCGAUUCCGAGAGUCGGGUUGUUUGGGAUUGCAACCUAAAGCAGGUGGUAAACUCCACCUAAGGCUAAAUAUAGACACGAAACCGAUAGCGAACAAGUACUGUGAGGGAAAGUUGAAAAGAACUCUGAAAAGAGAGUUAAAAGUACGUGAAACCGCUAACGGGGAAGCGGAAGGCAGUGUCGUGAUCUUGUGAGUGAGGCAGCUUAAGGUGGUUGGUUACUCUUCACGGGGUGCUAUGCUAUUUUGAGCUGUGAGCUUACUUGAUGCGUCAGGUCUACCGGCCCAAUGCAGUUCAAUGGCUUGUGUGGCUUGUACAACACCUAUCCUCGGGUAGGCUUGUGCUUGCGGCAGGUUAUCCGCUGCAUAGGCUGGUAGAGUUGUAAUGAGGCGUUGGUGAUUUUAAUCGGUUGGUUUGGUUUAAUGCUGUUUGUUGGUCACAUUGUGGCUGCAUAGGCAGAAGUUAGGCUUUACUCAACAUCCAGUGCCAGUACCUGACGAGAUACCUAACUUUC
rnacentral:rRNA from 1 species